AAAAGAAACAGGAAGUACUUAUUACACAGGCCGGUGGAUGAUGGGUCAUACGAUCGUGUAACACAGAAGACAAGGAAUCAGUAGAAAAUUCCACCAAGUGGCGAGACACAGACCAGUGGUUAAAUGGAAAAUUCAAAUAAACGCAGCAGAACGUACGCAAUAAUGCCCAAGUGCUGCAGCCCAUGUAAAACUCAACACAUUGGCUGGAGGCCCGGAGGGUCACUGAUGUAACCAUUGUGACCAGUGGUACUGGACGCACGGACCAGUGAGUCAACCCUUUAGCACAGUGGUGGAGUAGCAUAUUGACUUGUUAUGCAGAGUUUCUGGGGAUAUACGAGUCCAAUGACCCAGCCAAGCUAAAUGAUGUACAACUUACCACACAUGAAGUGUGACAUGGAAACAUUGCGUGAAUCACAUCCAGACUUAAUGUGGAUAUACAAACAGACUUAAUGUGGAUUACAUGUACAAUUAAUGUGGAUUACAGACUUAAUGUGAAUCACAUGCAGACUUAAUGUGGAUUACAUGCAGACUUAAUCUGGAUCACAAACAAACUUAAUGGGAUUACAAACAGACUUAAUGUGGAUUACAACCAGACUUGAUGUGCAUAACACGUAGACUUAAUGUGCAUAACACGUAGACUUAAUGUGGAUUACAUGUACAAUUAAUGUGGAUUACAGACUUAAUGUGGAUUACAUGUGGAUUUAAUGUGGAUUAAAUGCAGACUUAAUGUGGAUUACAAACAGACUUAAUGUGGAUUACAACCAGACUUGAUGUGCAUAACACGUAGACUUAAUGUGCAUAACACGUAGACUUAAUGUGGAUUACAUGUACAAUUAAUGUGGAUUACAGACUUAAUGUGGAUUACAUGUAGAUUUAAUGUGGAUUACAAACAGACUUAAUGUGGAUUACAUGUACAAUUAAUGUGAAUUACAUGCAGACUUAAUGUGGAUUACAUGUAGACUUAAUGUGGAUUACAUACAGACUUAAUGUGGAUUACAUGUACAAUUAAUGUGGAUUACAGACUUAAUGUGGAUUACAUGUAGAUUUAAUGUGGAUUACAAACAGACUUAAUGUGGAUUACAUGUACAAUUAAUGUGGAUUACAUGUAGACUUAAUGUGGAUUACAUGUAGACUUAAUGUUGAUUACAUGUAGACUUAAUGUGGAUUACAAGCAGACUUAAUGUGGAUUACAUGUACAAUUAAUGUGAAUUACAUGCAGACUUAAUGUGGAUUACAUGUAGACUUAAUGUUGAUUACAUACAAACUUAAUGUGAAUUACAUGCAAACUUAUUGUGGAUUACAUAUACCUGGUAAAUUUAAUGUGGAUUACAUGUAGACUUAAUUGGAUUAUAUGUAGACUUAAUGUGGAUUACAUGUACACUUAAUGUGAAUUACAUGUAUAUUUAACGUGGUUUACAUGCAGACUUAAUGUGGAUUACAUGCAGACUUAAUGUAGAUUACAUGCAGACUUAAUGUGGAUUGCAUGCAGACUUAAUGUGGAUUACAUGCAGACUUAAUGUAGAUUAUUUGGGAGCUUACUUGGAUCAACAUGUGACCAAAUAAGGAAUCUUGGAAGGAUUAGACACAUUAUUGACGAAACAACCUGCAAAACACUAAUGCAUGCUCUGGUGACAUCGAGACUCGACUAUGCCAAUGCAUUGCUACUUGGCUUACCAAACAGGACCACGGACAAACUCCAACGUGUACAGAAUACAACAGCAAGGAUAAUAACUCGUACUAAAAAAACAUGAUCACAUUACACCUGUACUGUAUAACCUGCACUGACUCCCGGUUCAGUACCGCAUAAAAUACAAAGUGCUUGUACACACAUACCAAGCAGUUCACAAAACCGGACCAACCUACCCUAGUAGAUUAAUACAGAUUAAUACCCCGUAUUGCCCUCCGGGAGAUUUAUGUUCGGGAAAUAGGAUGCUUCUAAAUGUUCCACAAAUAAGAACACAGACUCACGGAAACAGGCGUUUUGACUACUCCGCGCCAAAACUGGGAACGCCUUACCACUCGGAUUACGCCAAGCUAAAUCUCUUGACAUUUUUAAGCGACAUCAUUUUCUUCAUAUUGCUUUUAAUAUCUAGCUAAAAGACAAUUCUAUCUUAUUUACAAAGUGUUUUAAAGUGUAUUACAAUAAUAUGCAUAUACCAUCAUUUUUUAUGUAGGACAUUGCAAUUUUUACUUUGAAUUGUAUGCUUUUUAUGUAAAGCGCUUUAGAGAUUUUUAAUUGAUUAAGGUGCUACAUAAGUCUUACUAUUGUAUUGUAUUACAAACAGACUUCAUGUGGAUUACAUGUAGAGUUAAUGUGGAUUACAAACAGAUUUAAUGUGAAUUACAAACAGACUUCAUGUGAAUUACAAACAGACUUCAUGUGGAUUACAUGGAGAUUUAAUGUGGAUUACAUUUGUACAUGCUAAUGUAGACUUAAUGAAAGUUCAACGUUAUGGAUGUACACUACGCUAACGAAGAAUGCAAUAUAGAUACUAUUAAUAAAGACUUACCGACGACGGGUGAACCUACAAAUAAAAAAAACCCAUUUAAUUUCCUCAAAAACGUGUGUUUACAUAUAAAUACUGUACAUAUAUAUUAGUCUGUCAUUCUAUUUCACUAUUUGUCCUUGGGAUUUAUAACGAAAUCCUGUCCUGCAACAGAACUUAAGUUAAAUGCUGUAUAUACAUUUUCCUUAAAAAUAACCCAGAAGACAUCUUUGUGUUUGAUUUUGACACAUUAAACUGUAUUUUAAUGUAUAUUUACGGAGAAACUUUCUCUUUUGUACAUCCAUUUUAGAAUGUACACUGUAAAAUAUUUGCUAGAUAAAAUUGAAACCAUAGCACUGAAUAGAUUAACAAUCGAUUAACGAUUUAUACUUGUCUAAUUCCUGGGGUUUCAAGAGUGGUACGGGUUCAACACCCCUCUUUAGAUCGCAAUAGUUGGUUCAUUCUUGAUACACAAUAAUGAUCUAAAGAGCGCUUCAAUUCUAAUAAGGCACCCAUUAACCCCCUUUCCUACCCCUAAACGACAAAAUUUAUAUUUAAAAAAGUUUCCUGUCAAAUUUCUAACAAAACUGUAUGUCAUAUGUUUACCCCCAAAUCAUGGCACAAAUAUAUUUAGAUCGAUUUUAAGAAAUAUCGUCAUAGAGCUUUAUUAUAUGAAUAUAUACUAGUUGUAACCUGCGCAUGUAUGAAUAAAAUUUAACAAAAUAAAA